rnacentral:rRNA from 1 species
AGCGAACGCUGGCGGCAGGCCUAACACAUGCAAGUCGAACGAACCUUUGGGGGUAAUGGCGGACGGGUGGGGAACACGGGGGGACGGGCCCUUCGGGUCGGAAUUACCCAGGGGAACUUGUUCUAAUACCGAAUGUGGCCCUCGGGGGAAAGAUUAAUCGCCUUUAGAGCGGCCCGCGUCUGAUUAGCUAGUUGGUUUAGGUAAUGGCUCACCAAGGCGACGAUCAGUAGCUGGUCUGAGAGGAUGAUCAGCCACAUUGGGACUGAGACACGGCCCAAACUCCUACGGGAGGCAGCAGUGGGGAAUCUUGCGCAAUGGGCGAAAGCAUGACGCAGCCAUGCCGCGUGAAUGAUGAAGGUCUUAGGAUUGUAAAAUUCUUUCACCGGGGACGAUAAUGACGGUACCCGGAGAAGAAGCCCCGGCUAACUUCGUG